GACGAACGCUGGCGGCGUGCUUAACACAUGCAAGUCGAACGAGUGGCGAACGGGUGAGUAACGCAUCGGAACGUACCUAGUAAUGGGGGAUAACUGUCCGAAAGGACAGCUAAUACCGCAUAUUAUUCGAGCGGCCGAUGUCUGAUUAGCUGGUUGGCGGGAUAAAGGCCCACCAAGGCGACGAUCCCUAGCUGGUCUGAGAGGAUGACCAGCCACACUGGGACGGAGACACGGUCCAGACUCCUACGGGAGGCAGCAGUGGGGAAUAUUGCACAAUGGGCGCAAGCCUGAUGCAGCCAUGCCGCGUGUGUGAAGAAGGCCUUCGGGUUGUAAAGCACUGUCAGCGGAGAGGCGUUACCCGAAGAAGAAGCACCGGCUAACUCCGUGCCAGCAGCCGCGGUAAUAC
rnacentral:rRNA from 1 species